rnacentral:pre_miRNA from 1 species
UGUCAGCAUAUCUAAUAGUAAAGUUCUUAGUUCUUAGUUCUUAACUCUAAAAUAAAAACUAAGAACCUUGCAUUGGAGAUGCUCUAACA